rnacentral:tRNA from 1 species
GGCUAGAUGGUGGAAUUGGUCUACACACAGCAUUCAAAAUGCUGCGGCGAAAGCCUUGCGGGUUCGAGUCCCGCUCUAGCUACCA